AAACCUACGAUUAUAACGUUCCGAUGACAGAAGUGGAUGGAAUCAAUGCGCGCUAAAUUUCAUACGAUAAAACUCUUAAAAACCCUCUAAGACAGAAUCGAAAGAGUUGAGAAUCCGCUCUCAAUUUUCUACCUGAAUUUCUUAGUCUUAAAUUUAAAUUCCCUCCCUGUACAUCUCGUAGCCAUAAUUCACUUUCACAGUAUUCAAAAUCUCCCCCGCAUUUCUCUUUUUCAGUGUCAAAUGGAAUUUUUUUUUGACGACCCCAUUUCAUCCUUAAACUGGCAACAAGAUUAUCUACGCUGCAACUUUCUCAUUUAACACAACAAUACCUGCUCUGAUAUCGGCGUGUAAUUUGAGGAAUAUGGAAGAUUUUGGCGGGGUAAGCGAAUGGAUUAAUGGCGAUGAAAAUGCAAAGACAAUGCUUGCAAGAGUGUUGGUAAACCGGCAAUCAUGCGUAGCACUCACAAGACAGAUUCCACCCUUGAUGAGAGUACCAUUACGAGCAGGGAAUGUGGUAGAAAUCGUAGGACCUUCUUCCUCUGCUAAGUCGGAGCUGCUUAUACAGGCUGCUGUUAAUUGUAUUCUGCCAAAGGAGUGGAAGGGGGUGAGUUAUGGAGGCUCUGAGGGUGUGGUGAUGGUGUUUGACUUAGAUUGUCGAUUUGAUGUAAUGCGCCUUGGUCAUUGUUUGCGAUACCGAAUUGAUGGAACUUGUGGACCAGGAACACACAAUAACAUGUAUACAAGAAAAGAAAUUAGAUCAAAUGAUAAGCAAGGCAGUCAAGCUUCUUUGCUGACACCCAUAUAUCAGGAGGAUGAGUUGUUUGUGUCUUGCAUGGAGCGGCUCUUGUACAUCCGAUGUUACAACAGUUUUGAGUUUUUAGCUGCUCUAAAGACAAUACGUCCCCAACUACAAAAAGCAAUUGAAAAACACAGUAAUGGAGUGCAUCUUCUAGUGAUUGACAGCAUAAGUGCUUUUUACUGGCUUGAUCGAGCUUUAAAGUCUGCCUCAAUAGACAAUAAUGCUAGUAGGAAAUCUCUAUCUUUGCAAGUUGUUUCAGAAACUGUUGUUCAAGAACUACGCCAUCUUUUACAAAUCAAUCCCAUGUUAGUAUUGGCCACAAAACCCACUAUCUAUAGUACGGGACCAUCAGAAAAUCUUGUGGGCAGGGAAGGGAGAAAAUGGUCUAAAUCUUGUCUGGAAGCUUCAAAGCAUGGUAAUCAAGUGUCAGAAAAGAAUGUGCAUCGUGAAUACAUGCCAGCUGUUUGGCAGGCAUUUGUGACCCACAGGCUACUGCUUGGAAGGUCAGAUGAUACGAGUGAGAAUGAAAACAUAAAGGUCCCUGUUUACACAUCAGAAUGGGAAAUGCCAUCUCUGCAACAUUCGGACAGAUUCAUUGUGCAAGAUGGUGGUAUUUCGCUCAUUAUGUGAAUUGGUUCCAACGGACAGAAAUUUUACAGAUUCCAGGUUCAAUUUCCUAAUAUUUUUACCAUACAAGACCUCGAACUGAACCUUGAUGCAAUUUAUACAUUCUGAGGCCAGAAAAGCUUGAGCAAACUAUAGAAAGACCACAGAUGGAGAGGGGGAUCUGUCCCAUUGGUUUGCAAAUGAUAUUUCCUUAUACGAGAGGCCCUGUUUUGGAAAGCAGCUUAUUUGGUUGCCAAAAAACCUGGGUUCAGCUGAUUUAUGCAUCUUCCAUUUUUGUUUUUUAGCAUCAGCCCAUAGGUGCAUUGAAGGCGUCAUAGAUAUGUUUGGAGAAUUUCAUUCUGUAAUGUAAAUUUACAACAUUUAUUAAAAGAAUAUUUAGAGCUGCUCUUAGAUUUUAAA